GACGAACGCUGGCGGCGUGCUUAACACAUGCAAGUCGAACGGAAAGGCCCUGCUUUUGUGGGGUGCUCGAGUGGCGAACGGGUGAGUAACACGUGAGUAACCUGCCCUUGACUUUGGGAUAACUUCAGGAAACUGGGGCUAAUACCGGAUAGGAGCUCCUGCUGCAUGGUGGGGGUUGGAAAGUUUCGGCGGUUGGGGAUGGACUCGCGGCUUAUCAGCUUGUUGGUGGGGUAGUGGCUUACAAAGGCUUUGACUGGUAGCCGGCCUGAGAGGGUUACCGGCCACAUUGGGACUGAGAUACGGCCCAGACUGCUACGGGAGGCAGCAGUGGGGAAUAUUGCACAAUGGGCGGAAGCCUGAUGCAGCAACGCCGCGUGCGGGAUGACGGCCUUCGGGUUGUAAACCGCUUUCGCCUGUGACGAAGCGUGAGUGACGGUAAUGGGUAAAGAAGCACCGGCUAACUACGUG
rnacentral:rRNA from 1 species